rnacentral:rRNA from 1 species
UACGAAGGGGGCUAGCGUUGCUCGGAAUCACUGGGCGUAAAGCGCACGUAGGCGGCUUGUUAAGUCAGGGGUGAAAUCCUGGAGCUCAACUCCAGAACUGCCUUUGAUACUGGCGAGCUUGAGUUCGGGAGAGGUGAGUGGAACUGCGAGUGUAGAGGUGAAAUUCGUAGAUAUUCGGAAGAACACCAGUGGCGAAGGCGGCUCACUGGACCGGUAUUGACGCUGAGGUGCGAAAGCGUGGGGAGCAAACAGG